rnacentral:rRNA from 1 species
UACGUAGGGUGCGAGCGUUAAUCGGAAUAACUGGGCGUAAAGAGUGCGUAGGCGGAUAAACAAGUUAGAUGUGAAACCCCUGAGCUUAACUUGGGACUGGCAUUUAAGACUGUGUAUCUAGAGUCUGUAAGAGGGUGGUAGAAUUCCGAGUGUAGCAGUGAAAUGCGUAGAGAUUCGGAGGAAUAUCAAUGGCGAAGGCAGCCACCUGGGAUAAGACUGACGCUGAGGCACGAAAGCGUGGGGAGCAAACAGG